rnacentral:rRNA from 1 species
GGCUCAGGAUGAACGCUAGCGGCAGGCUUAACACAUGCAAGUCGAGGGGCAUCGGGAGUAGCAAUACUGCCGGCGACCGGCGCAAGGGUGCGUAACGCGUGAGCAACAUGCCCGUAUCAGGGGGAUAAUCCAUGGAAACGUGGUCUAAUACCCCAUAGUAAUUAUGUAAGGCAUCUUAUAUAAUUUAAAGCUUUGGUGGAUACGGAUUGGCUCGCGUGACAUUAGCUGGAUGGUAAGGUAACGGCUUACCAUGGCUACGAUGUCUAGGGGUUCUGAGAGGAAGGUCCCCCCACACUGGAACUGAGACACGGUCCAGACUCCUACGGGAGGCAGCAGUGAGGAAUAUUGGACAAUGGAUGGAAAUCUGAUCCAGCCAUGCCGCGUGCAGGAAAGACGGCCCUAUGGGUUGUAAACUGCUUUUGUAUGGGAGCAAUAAGGGCUACGUGUAGUCCGAUGAGAGUACCAUACGAAUAAGCACCGGCUAACUCCGUGCCAGCAGCCGC